rnacentral:lncRNA from 1 species
GUCUCCAUUUCUUUUCUCCCACGGCUCUCAUCUUUAUAAAUAGAGAUAACCAGAGGAUCUCCGAGAUAGGCAACUCUCUCGUAUGUUUCUUCCAUCUGUUCCACUGAUUUUUGAUUGGAGCAUCGGAGAGUCUCCAUCGGAGCCAACUUUGAUCAGAGACUUAUUUUACAAGUCCGGUCACGACCAUCUCAGCCAGGCACCAUCUUACUCCAGCGAAUCCGGCUCAAGUCGAGGAUCUGCAGCAACAUC